GCGAAGGUGGCGGAAUUGGCUUAGGAUGUGGGGGUUCGAGUCCCCCCCCUCGCACCA
rnacentral:tRNA from 1 species